rnacentral:rRNA from 1 species
GUACUGAAGUCUGUAUAAAAAGUCUCGCCUGCCCACUGAAAAUUUUACAUGGCCGCGGUAUGUUGACCGUGCUAAGGUAGCAUAAUCAUUAGUUUUUUAAUUGAAAGCUAGAAUGAAGGGUUGGAUGAAAAAAUAACUGUCUCUAUUUAAUUUAUAAGAAUUUUAUUUUUAAGUUAAAAAGCUUAAAUUUUAUUAAAAGACAAGAAGACCCUUUAGAGUUUUAUAUAUUUAAAUUUAAUUAUUUUUAGUAUUUAAAUUAUUUAUUUUAAAAUAUAUUUAAUUGGGGUGAUUAAAAAAUUAAAUUAACUUUUUUUAUAUAAUUAUAUUAAUUAAUAAUUUAUUGAUCCAAUAUUUUUGAUUAUAAGAUUAAAUUACCUUAGGGAUAACAGCGUAAUUUUACUGGAGAGUUCAAAUUGAGAGUAAAGGUUGCGACCUCGAUGUUGGAUUCAAAUUUAUAAUUGGAGCAAAGGAUAGAAUAAUCAUGUCUGUUCUAC